UACGUAGGUGGCAAGCGUUGUCCGGAUUUAUUGGGCGUAAAGCGAGCGCAGGCGGUUUCUUAAGUCUGAUGUGAAAGCCUUCGGCUCAACCGAAGAAGUGCAUCGGAAACUGGGAAACUUGAGUGCAGAAGAGGACAGUGGAACUCCAUGUGUAGCGGUGAAAUGCGUAGAUAUAUGGAAGAACACCAGUGGCGAAGGCGGCUGUCUGGUCUGUAACUGACGCUGAGGCUCGAAAGCAUGGGUAGCAAAC
rnacentral:rRNA from 2 species